UACGUAGGGGGCUAGCGUUGUCCGGAAUCAUUGGGCGUAAAGAGCGUGUAGGCGGCCCGGUAAGUCCGCUGUGAAAGUCGGGGGCUCAACCCUCGGAUGCCGGUGGAUACUGUCGGGCUAGAGUACGGAAGAGGCGAGUGGAAUUCCUGGUGUAGCGGUGAAAUGCGCAGAUAUCAGGAGGAACACCAAUGGCGAAGGCAGCUCGCUGGGACGGAACUGACGCUGAGACGCGAAAGCGUGGGGAGCAAACAGG
rnacentral:rRNA from 1 species